UGGGGAUACUGCUCUAGCCGGGUGUCAGUCACAGCAUGGCGGGUACGGGGAUACUGCGCUAGCCGGGGGCCAGUCACAGCAUGGCGGGUACUGUGCCAGUCACAGCAUGGCGGGUACGGGGAUACUGCGCUAGCCGGGUGCCAGUCACAGCAUGGCGGGUACGGGGAUACUGCGCUUUGUGUCCGCCAUGUUGGGGUUGGCUAUCC